rnacentral:rRNA from 1 species
AUUGAACGCUGGCGGCAUGCCUUACACAUGCAAGUCGAACGGCAGCAUGGAGAGCUUGCUCUCUGAUGGCGAGUGGCGAACGGGUGAGUAAUGCAUCGGAACGUACCGUGUAAUGGGGGAUAACGUAGCGAAAGUUACGCUAAUACCGCAUACGACCUGAGGGUGAAAGCAGGGGAUCGCAAGACCUUGCGUUAUACGAGCGGCCGAUGUCAGAUUAGCUAGUUGGUGAGGUAAAGGCUCACCAAGGCGACGAUCUGUAGCGGGUCUGAGAGGAUGAUCCGCCACACUGGGACUGAGACACGGCCCAGACUCCUACGGGAGGCAGCAGUGGGGAAUUUUGGACAAUGGGGGAAACCCUGAUCCAGCCAUGCCGCGUGCAGGAUGAAGGCCUUC